rnacentral:rRNA from 1 species
AUUGAACGCUGGCGGCAGGCCUAACACAUGCAAGUCGAACGAGUGGCGGACGGGUGAGUAAUGUCUGGGAAACUGCCCGAUGGAGGGGGAUACCUACUGGAAACGGUAGCUAAUAUCCCAUCCCAUCGGCUGUGCCCAGGUGGGAUUAGCUAGUGGGUGGGGUAACGGCUGACCUAGGCGACGAUCCCUAGCUGGUCUGAGAGGAUGACAAGCCACACUGGAACUGAGACACGGUCCAGACUCCUACGGGAGGCAGCAGUGGGGAAUAUUGCACAAUGGGCGCAAGCCUGAUGCAGCCAUGCCGCGUGUAUGAAGAAGGUCUUCGGGUUGUAAAGUACUUUCAGCGAGGAGGCGUUACGCGCAGAAGAAGCACCGGCUAACUCCGUGCCAGCAGCCGCGGUAAUUC